ACAUGGGCCAGUGGCUGAGUCCCGGCUCCACGAGGAGAUGUUGGGAGAAGGCAGCACACAUUGAGGAGAAGCAAGGAGCACCACUCCUGAUGGUCCCCUCCAGAGCCCCAGGAAACUCUUGUUAGCAAUCUUAGAUUAAAUUCAGAGUUUCUGGAUCACGACAGGAAGCUGUGUCCAGCACGAAGGUGUCCUGUGAACAGGCUCAAUCACAAGCUCUGCAGAGACGGGAAGUGACAGAGGCCCCAGAAAGCCAGUUCCCGACAACGCCAAUACUGCACGUUUAUCAGCUGCGGCAAGAGCCGGCCAGAGGCGGUGGCAGCACCUCAAUGCCCUUGCCUCGUCUUCAAGAUUCUUCUGUUUGAUGUUGCGUCCUCACUGUUCCUCUGCUGAGGAGCUGUAGUGUGGCUCACAACUACGCGAUGACUCUCCAGAUUCAAAGACCACAUCUCACCCUCUCUAAAGCCCCAGGGGCCCAGCGCAGUGCCGAGUGCAGA
rnacentral:lncRNA from 1 species